rnacentral:rRNA from 1 species
UACGCAAGCUCGCGAGAGUAAGCCAAUCUCUUAAAGCCGUUCUCUGUUCGGACUGUAGGCUGCAACUCGCCUACACGAAGUCGGAAUCGCUAGUAAUCGCGGAUCAGCAUGCCGCGGUGAAUACGUUCCCGGGCCUUGUACACACCGCCCGUCACACCAUGGGAGUUUGUAACGCCCAAAGUCGGUGGCCUAACCUUUAUGGAGGGAGCCGCCUAAGGCGGGACAGAUGACUGGGGUGAAGUCGUAACAAGGUAUC